CACAGCCCACGCCCUGGUCCGUCCAGGGGCAGAUGGGGGGUGCGCCAGCGCCCAACCCCACACUCUCUGCGUACGAAUCCCCGUUGCUUCCCCGGGGAGGGACAAACCACCCCGGGGGAGGACCACCCAGGAGCACACGAUGCCGACCAACAGACCUUUCCACCCCCCCCUGUCUGAAGGGCCAGAGUGCCAUGAAGUAAGGAGCGAGCGAAAGAGACGAAUGCAAA
rnacentral:misc_RNA from 1 species